UUUGCUAUGUAACCUUAGCAUAUCUACACGUAAGGAAGAAAGUAAUUUAGCAAAUUCAUAAAUAGUGGAUUUUGACAGCAAAUCCCUUAUUUCCUUUGUAUUACUGGCGUUUAUCAUUUAUAAACAUAACACAGUGAAAGUAAAGGAGUUUUUCUAA